rnacentral:rRNA from 1 species
UACGUAGGGUGCAAGCGUUGUCCGGAAUUAUUGGGCGUAAAGAGCUCGUAGGCGGUCUGUCGCGUCGGCUGUGAAAACCCGGAGCUCAACUCCGGGCCUGCAGUCGAUACGGGCAGACUGGAGUUCGGCAGGGGAGACUGGAAUUCCUGGUGUAGGCGGUGAAAUGCGCAGAUAUCAGGAGGAACACCGGUGGCGAAGGCGGGUCUCUGGGCCGAUACUGACGCUGAGGAGCGAAAGCAUGGGGAGCGAACAGG